CCUACGGGGGGCUGCAGUGGGGAAUCUUGCGCAAUGGCCGAAAGGCUGACGCAGCGACGCCGCGUGCGGGAGGAAGCCCUUCGGGGUGUAAACCGCUGUCAGAGGGGACGAACUUCCGGGGUUGGAAUACGGCUUCGGGCUGACGGUACCCUCAGAGGAAGCGCCGGCUAACUCCGUGCCAGCAGCCGCGGUAAGACGGAGGGCGCGAGCGUUGUUCGGAAUUACUGGGCGUAAAGCGCGCGCAGGCGGACGUGGCAAGUCGGAAGUGAAAUCCCGGGGCUCAACUCCGGGGCCGCUUCCGAUACUGUUCGUCUAGGGACCGGUAGAGGCCGGUGGAAUUCCCGGUGUAGCGGUGGAAUGCGUAGAGAUCGGGAAGAACACCUGUGGCGAAGGCGGCCGGCUGGGCCGGAUCCGACGCUGAGGCGCGAAAGCGUGGGGAGCAAACAGGAUUAGAUACCCCUGUAGUC
rnacentral:rRNA from 1 species